rnacentral:rRNA from 1 species
GGAUGCGAUCAUACCAGCACUAAGCACCGGAUCCCAUCAGAACUCCGAAGUUAAGCGUGCUUGGGCGAGAGUAGUACUAGGAUGGGUGACCUCCUGGGAAGUCCUCGUGUUGCAUCCCUC